CUCGUAGGCGGCCAACUAAGUCGGACGUGAAAUCCCUCAGCUUAACUGGGGAACUGCGUCUGAUACUGGAUGGCUUGGAUUUGGGAGAGGGAUGCGGAAUUCCAGGUGUAGCGGUGAAAUGCGCAGAUAUCAGGAAGAACACCUAUGGCGAAGGCAGCUCUCUGGGACGGUACUGACGCUGAGACGCGAAAGCGUGGGGAGCGAAC
rnacentral:rRNA from 1 species